CCGGAGAAUGUUAUCACGGGAGACACACGGCGGGUGCUAACGUCCGUCGUGAAGAGGGAAACAACCCAGACCGCCAGCUAAGGUCCCAAAGUCAUGGUUAAGUGGGAAACGAUGUGGGAAGGCCCAGACAGCCAGGAUGUUGGCUUAGAAGCAGCCAUCAUUUAAAGAAAGCGUAAUAGCUCACUGGUCGAGUCGGCCUGCGCGGAAGAUGUAACGGGGCUAAACCAUGCACCGAAGCUGCGGCAGCGACGCUUAUGCGUUGUUGGGUAGGGGAGCGUUCUGUAAGCCUGCGAAGGUGUGCUGUGAGGCAUGCUGGAGGUAUCAGAAGUGCGAAUGCUGACAUAAGUAACGAUAAAGCGGGUGAAAAGCCCGCUCGCCGGAAGACCAAGGGUUCCUGUCCAACGUUAAUCGGGGCAGGGUGAGUCGACCCCUAAGGCGAGGCCGAAAGGCGUAGUCGAUGGGAAACAGGUUAAUAUUCCUGUACUUGGUGUUACUGCGAAGGGGGGACGGAGAAGGCUAUGUUGGCCGGGCGACGGUUGUCCCGGUUUAAGCGUGUAGGCUGGUUUUCCAGGCAAAUCCGGAAAAUCAAGGCUGAGGCGUGAUGACGAGGCACUACGGUGCUGAAGCAACAAAUGCCCUGCUUCCAGGAAAAGCCUCUAAGCAUCAGGUAACAUCAAAUCGUACCCCAAACCGACACAGGUGGUCAGGUAGAGAAUACCAAGGCGCUUGAGAGAACUCGGGUGAAGGAACUAGGCAAAAUGGUGCCGUAACUUCGGGAGAAGGCACGCUGAUAUGUAGGUGAAGUCCCUUGCGGAUGGAGCUGAAAUCAGUCGAAGAUACCAGCUGGCUGCAACUGUUUAUUAAAAACACAGCACUGUGCAAACACGAAAGUGGACGUAUACGGUGUGACGCCUGCCCGGUGCCGGAAGGUUAAUUGAUGGGGUCAGCGCAAGCGAAGCUCUUGAUCGAAGCCCCGGUAAACGGCGGCCGUAACUAUAACGGUCCUAAGGUAGCGAAAUUCCUUGUCGGGUAAGUUCCGACCUGCACGAAUGGCGUAAUGAUGGCCAGGCUGUCUCCACCCGAGACUCAGUGAAAUUGAACUCGCUGUGAAGAUGCAGUGUACCCGCGGCAAGACGGAAAGACCCCGUGAACCUUUACUAUAGCUUGACACUGAACAUUGAGCCUUGAUGUGUAGGAUAGGUGGGAGGCUUUGAAGUGUGGACGCCAGUCUGCAUGGAGCCGGCCUUGAAAUACCACCCUUUAAUGUUUGAUGUUCUAACGUGGACCCGUGAUCCGGGUUGCGGACAGUGUCUGGUGGGUAGUUUGACUGGGGCGGUCUCCUCCUAAAGAGUAACGGAGGAGCACGAAGGUUGGCUAAUCCUGGUCGGACAUCAGGAGGUUAGUGCAAUGGCAUAAGCCAGCUUGACUGCGAGCGUGACGGCGCGAGCAGGUGCGAAAGCAGGUCAUAGUGAUCCGGUGGUUCUGAAUGGAAGGGCCAUCGCUCAACGGAUAAAAGGUACUCCGGGGAUAACAGGCUGAUACCGCCCAAGAGUUCAUAUCGACGGCGGUGUUUGGCACCUCGAUGUCGGCUCAUCACAUCCUGGGGCUGAAGUAGGUCCCAAGGGUAUGGCUGUUCGCCAUUUAAAGUGGUACGCGAGCUGGGUUUAGAACGUCGUGAGACAGUUCGGUCCCUAUCUGCCGUGGGCGCUGGAGAACUGAGGGGGGCUGCUCCUAGUACGAGAGGACCGGAGUGGACGCAUCACUGGUGUUCGGGUUGUCAUGCCAAUGGCACUGCCCGGUAGCUAAAUGCGGAAGAGAUAAGUGCUGAAAGCAUCUAAGCACGAAACUUGCCCCGAGAUGAGUUCUCCCUGACCCUUUAAGGGUCCUGAAGGAACGUUGA
rnacentral:rRNA from 1 species